GGAAGUAAAAGUCGUAACAAGGUUUCCGUAGGUGAACCUGCGGAAGGAUCAUUAUUGUAUAACCGAGGUGCGAGGGCUGUCGCUGACCCGAAAGGUCGUGCACGCCCGAGUGCCCUCACACGCAUCCAUCUCACCCCUAUGUGCACCACCGCGUGGGUCCCCCUUUGGCUUGUUCGGAGGGGGGCUUACGUUUUCACACAAACUUUGUAUGCAGUGUAGAAUGUAUUUUUUGUUUUUGCGAUCACGCAAUCAAUACAACUUCUAACAACGGAUCUCUUGGCUCUC
rnacentral:misc_RNA from 1 species